rnacentral:tRNA from 1 species
AAUUAAGAGCACUAAAGAAUUUAAAGUGCCCACACAGUUUGUUUUCGAGAAUGAAGAAACCCAAAGCCGUGACCGAGAGGAAGCGGGAAGAUGCGCGGUCACGCUGAAAGCAAGCGCAAAGCGCGAGCGUAAAAACAGAGUAAUCGAGCAUUUUUACAAGAGAUUUUGUUUUAAUCAAGGCGCAAGCGGGAGUGAGUGAGGGAGCAUACAUCAGUAUGUGACCGAACGAGCGAGUGCAUGCAACGCAGAGUAAAACAAAAGAUUGCAGUAAAAAGGGGGUCGUAGCUCAGCUGGGAGAGCACCUGCCUUGCACGCAGGGGGUCAGGAGUUCGAUCCUCCUCGGCUCCACCAAAUUAUGAGGUUUAUUCAUUAGGCUUAUCCAGAUUAAAGUGCUUUUGUUUUGAGGGUAUUUUCAUCUGGAGUAACCAGAGGUUCAUUAAAAAUUAGGGUAAAUGAAGAGGUAACACAAGCGUACUUGUAUUGAAGCAGUAUGGACAUAUAGUUUGAGGUAAUUGAGAUUAUAU